UACGGAGGGUGCGAGCGUUGUCCGGAAUUAUUGGGCGUAAAGAGCUCGUAGGCGGUUUGUCGCGUCGACUGUGAAAACCCGAGGCUUAACCUCGGGCCUGCAGUCGAUACGGGCAGACUAGAGUUCGGUAGGGGAGACUGGAAUUCCUGGUGUAGCGGUGAAAUGCGCAGAUAUCAGGAGGAACACCGGUGGCGAAGGCGGGUCUCUGGGCCGAUACUGACGCUGAGGAGCGAAAGCGUGGGGAGCGAACAGG
rnacentral:rRNA from 1 species